rnacentral:rRNA from 1 species
CAGUCGCCGCGGUAAAACGGAGGGGGCUAGCGUUGUUCGGAAUUACUGGGCGUAAAGCGCACGUAGGCGGCUUUGUAAGUUAGAGGUGAAAGCCUGGGGCUCAACUCCAGAAUUGCCUUUAAGACUGCAUCGCUUGAACGUCGGAGAGGUGAGUGGAAUUCCGAGUGUAGAGGUGAAAUUCGUAGAUAUCGGAAGGAACACCAGUGGCGAAGGCGGCUACCUGGACUGAGACUGACACUGAGGCGCGAGAGCGUGGGGAGCAAACAGGAUUAGAUACCCCUGUAGUCCCUGUCUCUUAUAC